GAACGAACGCUGGCGGCGUGGAUAAGACAUGCAAGUCGAACGGGAUAACAUCUGUAGCAAUACAGGUGUUAUUUAGUGGCGAACGGGUGCGUAACACGUGGGGAAUCUGCCGAGAAGUGGGGGAUAGCUCGCCGAAAGGCGAAUUAAUACCGCAUAUGAUCAGCUCAGACAUCUGAGCGACAUCAAAGCCGGGGUAACCUGGCGCUUCUUGAUGACCCCGCGGCCUAUCAGCUAGUUGGUGAGGUAACGGCUCACCAAGGCUAUGACGGGUAGCUGGUCUGAGAGGACGACCAGUCACACUGGAACUGAGACACGGUCCAGACACCUACGGGUGGCAGCAGUCGAG
rnacentral:rRNA from 1 species